rnacentral:rRNA from 1 species
UAGGGAAUCUUCCGCAAUGGACGCAAGUCUGACGGAGCAACGCCGCGUGAGUGAAGAAGGAUUUCGGUUCGUAAAACUCUGUUGUUAGAGAAGAACAGCGCAUAGAGUAACUGUUAUGCGUGUGACGGUAUCUAACCAGAAAGCCACGGCUAACUACGUGCCAGUAGCCGCGGUAAUACGUAGGUGGCAAGCGUUGUCCGGAUUUAUUGGGCGUAAAGCGAGCGCAGGCGGUCAAUUAAGUCUGAUGUGAAAGCCCCCGGCUCAACCGGGGAGGGUCAUUGGAAACUGGUUGACUUGAGUGCAGAAGAGGAGAGUGGAAUUCCAUGUGUAGCGGUGAAAUGCGUAGAUAUAUGGAGGAACACCAGUGGCGAAGGCGACUCUCUGGUCUGUAACUGACGCUGAGGCUCGAAAGCGUGGGUAGCAAACAGG